CCCCGCCGCCUCCGCUCGAGCCCUCCCCAAGCCGUCGCACGCUGGAGAAAGCCUCCCGAGGCCGCCCGCUCGAUAUCGUCGCCCCGGGGCCGCCCGCUCCAGCGCCCCGAGCCACCGCGCCACCCCACGCUCACAUCGUGUGGAGAGCUCACGGAUCCGUUGCGGUUCGUGACCAAGGCCGGCGGCGGUCGCGGGCGAGCGAGCGAUGUGGUGGCGCGGCGGCUACGCGUGCAAGAGGAGGCGCACGGGGAGCAUGUCACCGCAGGGCACAUCUGUGGCUGCUGGCCGAAGCCUUCAUCUCAGCCAUGGAGUUCUGGCUGCCAGGCUGCUCCAGCACGCGCUCCUAGCGGAUGCGUUCCUCGUGGAGACGACACUGGAGGCCGGACUGCGGCCGAGACUCCGGCAAUGUAGCGAGCGGCCGAACCUCUAGCAAAGGUGGCAACCUGACCUGAGAGCGGAGACCACCUCGACCGGUAACCCAAUCCUGACAGGUUUAUUUUAACUGCAAGUAAGGUGUUUGACGAAAUGCCUCCUCAGCAGUCGACAAGACAACAAAUCAGGAACACGCCAUGAGAUCCAGGUGAUACUCCUCUUCGUUGGUCCCACCUCUGUUGUCUACAUGUGGUGCUCUGAAACUCUGAUAUGUUCUUGUAGAGAGUAGAGACUAGAUAUUAGAGCACUAGAUAUUAGAUAUUAUUUUCUUGCAGUUCUCUGUUCUUGUUGAGAUAUAUGAUUUAUGAGUGAUUACAGAUGCAGCCAUUAUUCGGGAUUGACGUGGAUGGAUCCAUGUCUAUGGAUCUUGGAUAAUUCCAUUUUGCACAUGUGUGACUUGCUGGAUAGAGAUUAAUUGAGUUUAUACAACCGUGUGACUUGAGUAAUUUGGAAAUUGUUUAUCAAAACAAAUUAAUUCACGUGUGUGCACAGGUUGCUGGAAAUAUGCCAAUUGGAAUGUUGCCAAAUAAAUUGACUGUACGACGCUUCUUUCUGUUGUCUGUCUAGACCAAAUGCAGGUUGUUGGAAGGUUACUUCUCUCUGUAGAGAAGGCUGUCCAGUUUAUUUCCCUCUUUGCUGCUACAUGAGAAAUAUCUAGCCGUCCAAAUUCUAUUUUGAUGCCUGUUGCCAUAACAUCUAUUCGGAAAAUAAUUAACAGUUCCAUUCCUCGUAGGAUGUCUUGCCUUAUUUCCAUCUUUCUAAAUACUUAUGCGCCAAUGUUUGGAGACUUGCUUAUAUGCAACUUGAUCUAUUCUUUGUACAUAAGACAUUAGGAAUUAGAUGGAUAAAUAACGGCAGUAGCUAAUCUAACCCAUUCACUUGCAAGCUACUGGUUCUUCUCAUGCUGCCUCGGAAUCCAAUAACAAUGACAAUGAUGGUGGCCACAAUAGCAACAGUGGAAGCCAAGCUAUGUGAUGGGCUCGUCAGUUGUGCAAAAACAGCAUGCUAUUUGGUAGUUUUUGAACUUUCACUGAUGUGAACUCAACUUGUAACGUUUUGAAGUGUUUGGUCUGCAUACACUUAGUUGGUAGGAGAUACACUUGCUUUAGGGAAGACAUGUGACACAGUGACAAUGGUGUUUAAGCCAAACAUUUGGACAUCAUCUUAUAUGUAUGCUGUGUGUAAUGGUCGAGCUCUGGUGUAGUUAAGCAAUUUGUAUGAUUAAGUUGUGGUUCCAUAAUUGGACUAUUAUGUGAAUGAUUCAGAUUUAAUUGAAAUUACCAUUUCUUGAAAA